ensembl:snRNA U1 U1 spliceosomal RNA
AUACUUACCUGGCGGGAGAGAGACCAUGGUCACGAAGGUGGUUUUCCCAGGGCGAGGCUUAGCCAUUGCCCUCCGGAUGUGCUGACCUCGGUGAUGUCCCCAAAUGUGGGAAACUCGACUGCAUAAUUUGUGGUAGCGGGGUAAAAAAAACAAAAAAGUCUUGUGAUGAGUAUAAGCUCCCAC